ACGAUGAACAGAGCCUGGUACCCAGAUGCCACCACUAGCCCAGGGCAGCUGCUGGGAAGGCCUCGAGCGCAGUCACAAGCUCCCCAACACCAUUUGGCGUCCUGCACUCACCAAGGUCAGCUCUGAGGGAGGCUAACCUACAAGUAGAGAGCCAGGCAGAGGCCAUAGGGAAC
rnacentral:lncRNA from 1 species